rnacentral:rRNA from 1 species
UACGGAGGGUGCAAGCGUUGUUCGGAAUUACUGGGCGUAAAGCGUGUCUAGGUGGAUUAGAAAGUCGUGUGUGAAAGGCUGGGGCUCAACCCCAUGCAUUGCGCUCGAUACUACUAGUCUUGAGAUAUAGAGGGGUAAGCGGAAUACCUGGUGUAGCAGUGAAAUGCGUAGAUAUCAGGUGGAACAUCAGAGGCGAAAGCGGCUUACUGGCUAUGGUCUGACACUGAAGCACGAAAGCGUGGGUAGCAAACGGG